ACGGCAGCGGGGGAGCUUGCUCCCGCCGGCGAGUGGCGAACGGGUGAGUAAUACAUCGGAACGUACCCAGUAGCGGGGGAUAGCCCGGCGAAAGCCGGAUUAAUACCGCAUACGCCCUACGGGGGAAAGGGGGGGAUCGUAAGACCUCUCACUAUUGGAGCGGCCGAUGGCUGAUUAGCUAGUUGGUGGGGUAAAGGCCUACCAAGGCGACGAUCAGUAGCUGGUCUGAGAGGACGACCAGCCACACUGGGACUGAGACACGGCCCAGACUCCUACGGGAGGCAGCAGUGGGGAAUUUUGGACAAUGGGCGAAAGCCUGAUCCAGCAAUGCCGCGUGUGCGAAGAAGGCCUUCGGGUUGUAAAGCACUUUUGUCAGGGAAGAAAUCGUUUGGGUUAAUACCCCGAGCAGUUGACGGUACCUGAAGAAUAAGCACCGGCUAACUACGUGCCAGCAGCCGCGGUAAUACGUAGGGUGCAAGCGUUAAUCGGAAUUACUGGGCGUAAAGCGUGCGCAGGUGGUUUGUUAAGACAGUUGUGAAAUCCCCGGGCUUAACCUGGGAACUGCAAUUGUGACUGGCAGACUAGAGUGAGGCAGAGGGGGGCGGAAUUCCUGGUGUAGCAGUGAAAUGCGUAGAUAUCAGGAGGAACACCGAUGGCGAAGGCAGCCCCCUGGGCCAUCACUGACACUCAUGCACGAAAGCGUGGGGAGCA
rnacentral:rRNA from 1 species